UACGUAGGGGGCAAGCGUUGUCCGGAAUCAUUGGGCGUAAAGAGCGUGUAGGCGGCCCGGUAAGUCCGCUGUGAAAGUCCAGGGCUCAACCCUGGAAUGCCGGUGGAAACUGUCGGGCUAGAGUCCGGAAGAGGCGAGUGGAAUUCCUGGUGUAGCGGUGAAAUGCGCAGAUAUCAGGAGGAACACCAAUGGCGAAGGCAGCUCGCUGGGACGGUACUGACGCUGAGACGCGAAAGCGUGGGGAGCAACAGG
rnacentral:rRNA from 1 species